rnacentral:rRNA from 1 species
AGUGAACGCUGGCGGCAGGCCUAAUACAUGCAAGUCGAACGGCAGCACAGUGAAGCUUGCUCCAUGGGUGGCGAGUGGCGGGCGUGUGAGGCAUACAUGGGAAUCUGCCCAGUCGUGGGGGAUAACGUAGGGAAACUUACGCUAAUACCGCAUGCGCCCUUCGGGGGAAAGCCGGGGACCUUCGGGCCUGGCGCGAUUGGAUGAGCCCAUGUUCGAUUAGCUAGUUGGCGGGGUAAAGGCCCACCAAGGCGACGAUCGAUAGCUGGUCUGAGAGGAUGAUCAGCCACACUGGAACUGAGACACGGCCCAGACUCCUACGGGAGGCAGCAGUAGGGAAUAUUGGACAAUGGGCGCAAGCCUGAUCCAGCCAUGCCGCGUGAGUGAAGAAGGCCCUCGGGUUGUAAAGCUCUUUUGUCCGGGAAGAAAAGCAUCGGGCUAAUACCUCGGUGUUCUGACGGUACCGGAAGAAUAAGCACCGGCUAACUUCGUG